GACGAACGCUGGCGGCGUGCUUAACACAUGCAAGUCGAGCGAUGAAGUUCCUUCGGGAAUGGAUUAGCGGCGGACGGGUGAGUAACACGUGGGUAACCUGCCUCAUAGAGGGGAAUAGCCUUCCGAAAGGAAGAUUAAUACCGCAUAAGAUUGUAGUAUCGCAUGAUACAGCAAUUAAAGGAGUAAUUCGCUAUGAGAUGGACCCGCGUCGCAUUAGCUAGUUGGUGAGGUAACGGCUCACCAAGGCGACGAUGCGUAGCCGACCUGAGAGGGUGAUCGGCCACAUUGGGACUGAGACACGGCCCAGACUCCUACGGGAGGCAGCAGUGGGGAAUAUUGCACAAUGGGGGAAACCCUGAUGCAGCAACGCCGCGUGAGUGAUGACGGUCUUCGGAUUGUAAAACUCUGUCUUCAGGGACGAUAAUGACGGUGCCUGAGGAGGAAGCCACGGCUAACUACGUGCCAGCCGCCGCAGUAA
rnacentral:rRNA from 1 species